GAAGAAGAAGACGAGCUCCCUUCGAUCCAAUCCAGGAGAGGAAGUGGUAGGAUGCAGCUGCCGGUUCAUGGAUACCUCUGCAGUGCAUGUCGUAGGCUUGCACUUGCAUGGGUUUGCAUGACCCGGGAGAUGAACCCACCAUUGUCUUCCUCUUAUGCUUGGAUUGAAGGGAGCUCUACACCUCUCUCUC
rnacentral:pre_miRNA from 17 species